UGGAAGUUGUGGAUUUUAGCCUUGUUCUAUAUACUCUUACGACUGCAGCAAUAAAUAACUUUAUCCGGCUAUUUGCUUAUAACGCCGCUGCCCGCGACCAGCAGCGUAUAGGCAGUACGUCGACACCCUGAUGUGUUCGACGCUCUACGCCACAUCCUUCAUCGUCACUGGGGUGCUUGUGGCGGUCAACAAUUAAUGCUGAUACAAAUAUGUCCUUAAGCAGCCUUAUGUUAUUGAACGACGCCGUCAUGCUGUUCGGAGGCAUUUAGAUCAUGGAGAUGGUUUAUCUCUGCCUCAAGUUCUACCGCAAGAGGAACGUUGUCCGCGAUGUGGCGACAAUUGAGGCGACAAUUGAGUUGGCCGAGGACCCCACUAGCCAGUGAGGCCCAGGAGUCAUGCCGAGGCCCUCCCUAUAUGGUGGGUGGGCACUCCGCGGUACCCCACGACCUACAGUCAGUGCUCUCAAUUCGACCCCACGAAGCACAUCUCGAGAAAAUGUGGUAAUUCAGAGAUGAAGGAAAAUCUUCAACUUUGUAUUGUUGAACUACGUAACCGUGCUUGGAAUUCAGUUCAGUUUUCCGGUAAUUUCUUGCUCAUUAUAUAUUUGCACUGACCACGCUGCCGUCGGGAAUGGCAUUUGAGGCGUCAUCUACAGUUAUGAACGGAGUCGUUUUCAGGUAAUUGAGGCAUCGCGAAGAUGAAAACAUAGACUUGAAAUUAUUCAGAGAAUCAAAGAGAAGCAUCUUCAGAGAUUUUUUAUCGGUACAGUUUUUGCAGUUACCAUAUAACGAUACGGUAAAUGAUUUGUCUUCCAUUCAGUCCCGUACUUUCCACUAAAUGAUAAAAGCAAAUGAGCAACAAUUUUCAGACUGGCUACAAUUUAGUUGACUAUCCCUUCAAUACGGUUGCCUUGAAUAAAGUCGUGGUGUACAGGAAUCUUCUCUGGUCCAGAAGACUCACGAUCAUCAUUCAUGCAAACGACUGCAGACACUAGAAUGACAAUGCGACAAUAAUUAUAGUAUAACGUGCUACACUAUAUAUUCAAAUGAGGAGGUAACCAUAUAUCCUCGCCACUGCGUAAUUGGGAUUAAAAGCAUAUUAUUCAAUUUCAUAAUUAUUGGUUAAGAAUUGAGGGGAAUAAGCGUGCCGAAGUGGCCGAAUUCAUCCGUUAUACCUGUCUAAUUGAAUCUGGAGGUAAAAAUAGGAAACAAAUUUUCGACAACACGUAAUGAGUAUUGAAUGUGUGUAUUCAAUUUAAUUAUUGUUCACGAGUUGAAAAAUAGGGAUAAACGAUAAAUGUUCACGAAUUGA